rnacentral:rRNA from 1 species
AUUGAACGCUGGCGGCAGGCCUAACACAUGCAAGUCGAGCGGAUGAAGGGAGCUUGCUCCUGGAUUCAGCGGCGGACGGGUGAGUAAUGCCUAGGAAUCUGCCUGGUAGUGGGGGAUAACGUCCGGAAACGGGCGCUAAUACCGCAUACGUCCUGAGGGAGAAAGUGGGGGAUCUUCGGACCUCACGCUAUCAGAUGAGCCUAGGUCGGAUUAGCUAGUUGGUGGGGUAAAGGCCUACCAAGGCGACGAUCCGUAACUGGUCUGAGAGGAUGAUCAGUCACACUGGAACUGAGACACGGUCCAGACUCCUACGGGAGGCAGCAGUGGGGAAUAUUGGACAAUGGGCGAAAGCCUGAUCCAGCCAUGCCGCGUGUGUGAAGAAGGUCUUCGGAUUGUAAAGCACUUUAAGUUGGGAGGAAGGGCAGCAAGUUAAUACCUUGCUGCUUUGACGUUACCAACAGAAUAAGCACCGGCUAACUUCGUG